CGGGACGGGUGAGUAACGCGUGGGUAACCUGCCUUAUACUGGGGGAUAACAGCCAGAAAUGACUGCUAAUACCGCAUAAGCGCACAGAACCGCAUGGUUCGGUGUGAAAAACUCCGGUGGUAUAAGAUGGACCCGCGUUGGAUUAGCUAGUUGGCAGGGCAGCGGCCUACCAAGGCGACGAUCCAUAGCCGGCCUGAGAGGGUGAACGGCCACAUUGGGACUGAGACACGGCCCAG
rnacentral:rRNA from 1 species